UCACUAAGAAACCUACACCGUAUUGGCCC
rnacentral:piRNA from 1 species